AUUGAACGCUGGCGGCAUGCCUUACACAUGCAAGUCGAACGGCAGCACGGGUGCUUGCACCUGGUGGCGAGUGGCGAACGGGUGAGUAAUACAUCGGAACGUACCUUAUCGUGGGGGAUAACGCCGCGAAAGCUGUGCGAAUACCGCAUACGCCCUGAGGGGGAAAGCGGGGGAUCGCAAGACCUCGCGCGAUUAGAGCGGCCGAUGCCUGAUUAGCUUGUUGGUGGGGUAAAAGCCCACCAAGGCGACGAUCAGUAGCUGGUGUGAGAGGACGAUCAGCCACACUGGGACUGAGACACGGCCCAGACUCCUACGGGAGGCAGCAGUGGGGAAUUUUGGACAAUGGGGGCAACCCUGAUCCAGCAAUGCCGCGUGAGUGAAGAAGGCCUUCGGGUUGUAAAGCUCUUUUGUCAGGGAAGAAACACCGGCUCUAACACAGUCCGGGAAUGACGGUACCUGAAGAAUAAGCACCGGCUAACUACGUGCCAGCCGCCGCCGUAA
rnacentral:rRNA from 1 species